rnacentral:lncRNA from 1 species
AAUGAUUGAUAUAAUCAUCUGUUGUUGUAGAGGUAUCAUCUGUAAGACUAAUGGCCUUGACAAAUUGGCGUAUUAAUAAACCAAGUGAGGCUUCAUCAGGUAAUGGUAAGUGCAUCAAAUUAGGCUAAUCGAGAUCACCGCCUUCAUAAAUAUUCUCAUUCUCACUACAUUUGAAACCAAGAAAAAAAAAGAGUUUAAUAAAGAAUCUUUAGCAAGUAGAAAGAAGCCAAGUUAGAAUGAACAAAAAUAACAGAAAAUAAAAGUACGAUGGGAAGAUAAUGAACCUCAACGUUAAAGGUUCCGCCGUCUUUGUUGAAGUAGCACAUUUGAUGUGGGCAAAAAAUCUACAAUCUGCACAAUAAUAAAUCCAAUAGUUCGGAUGAAGUUUUCUGUUGCAUAUACUACAAUCUUGCCUGAAACUACGAUAUUGUUCGGGAAGAGAAUAGGCUAGGACAAGAGGGUGAUCUUCGUGAAAUUGACAUUUGAGGGUGGUUGUUGCGGAGGCACAACUCUUGUGUAACCAGAAUAGACAGGUGUAACAAAAGUAGGAGAAAUCUUUAUCUUCCGUGUCGCAAGCAUCACAGCUGAGCAAGACUUCCCUAGGCAUUAAAGUUAAUGGGUGAUUGUGGGAUUCAUGAUGAAAUCUGAGAUCCUGCAAAGCACAUGUCAAACAAACGUCAAACUCACAACUUACACACUGAUAGGUGAACCACUUCCAAUCCAUGAGACAGACAUUACAACUGCAAGACCGGCUCCAAUACUGUGGACGUGAAUGCAGGGUAAGACGGUGAUCUUGGUGCAUAGGAUAUUCAAGUUCUUGGGGCAAUUCCGCACAUGUUUUGUGUAGAAAGAAAUUGUCACAAUCACCUUGGGUUGUAUUAUCAAUGGUAUGACUACUAGUGCUGCAACUAUAUGCUGAAAUUUCAUUUUCAUCAGAUGCCUAUUUAUCAUCUCCUCUAUUGUCCUGUCUCUUGUAUCGGUACUAGAUUUGUCUAUUUAAUUGUGUAAAUCAAUAAUCACAUUACAAUUCGAAACAAUAUAUAACAUGGGAUGGAAAGAAAAUUUGUACCCAUAAUAUAUGUUGUUUUUUUAAGUGCAUAACCAACUAUAAAUUUAAACGAACAGUCCACGGGUCAAACAAACAUAAAAAUUACAACUAAAAGAAUCCAAUAGUUCACCUAUCGCUACUGUUACAAAUCUUGACGACAGUGAGUGCAAAUAACAAAUAUACAAGGCGCACAUUCAAGAACUGCUGUCCGAAUGCCAAUAUACCCAGUACCACAACUGCCACACGAGACAUUCUUCUUUUUAUUUUGAACAAAUGUGAGGUGGUGUGGGUGCAAAUUGUCAACUUCAAUGGUAGCCCCAAACUUGAUAUUUGAGUAAACAUCAUCACGAAGGAGACAACCGUUAUGAAAGGACAUAUCACAAUCGCGACAAUGAUAGAACCAAUAAUUUGGAUUUAUAUAUAUUGAGCACACUUCACAGUCGAAUUCAUGUGGAUGAUUUUUGACAGGCGGAUACAUCAAGUGGAGUGGAUGUGGGUCCCAUCUGUGCCUGACUGUACGUGGCAUAAUAGCACAACUUUUACUUGGGUAAAAAUUGCAAGUUUCACAUCCAAAUCCAAAACCUGAAUAUUUAUACGCACUUGCACUGCAGUCCAUGAUUUUAAGUUGCUUAAGGGAGUGUGUGUGAACUUCAUGUUUGAUCUUAUUGGGCAGUGAAGCACACACGAUAUCCAUGUAGAAAUUACAGAGCUCACAAUAAAAGAAUAUACCGUUGCAAUACUUUUGGCAAAAAUCACAUUUAAAGAAAUGACAACGAGUAGGAUAUUGAUUUGCGACGAGCUUGUGUUCUGGGUGAGAUAGAUGUUUCAACUCUUUUGGUAGCUCGGCACAAUAUUUGUGCAGGAAAUAUUUACAUUGCAGACAACCGUAAAAUGGAUCGUCGGUGAGAGGUUGCACACACCCGUCACAUAGCAUUUCCUCAUUUUUCAUCUCAUUAUUAUUCAUUUUAAAUUCAUGAAAAAUGAUAAGUGGAUGAUCUUUAUGUGCCCAAUGAUUGAUAUAAUCAUCUGUUGUUGUAGAGGUAUCAUCUGUAAGACUAAUGGCCUUGACAAAUUGGUGUAUUAAUAAACCAAGCGAGGCUUCAUCAGGUAAUGGUAAGUGCAUCAAAUUAGGCUCAUCUUUCUCAUCACCACCUUCAUAAAUAUUCAUAUUUUCACUACAUUUGAAACCAAGAAAAAAUGAAAGUUUAAUUAAGAAUCUUUAGCAAGUAGAAAGAAGCCAAGUUAGAAUGAAAACAAAAAUUCACAGAAAAUAAAAAUAUGACGGCAAGAUAAUGAACCUCAACGUCAAAGGUUCUGCCGUCUUUGUUGAAGUAGCACAUUUGAUGUGAGCAAAAAAUCUACAAUCUGCACAAUAAUAAAUCCAAUAGUUCGGAAAAAGUUUUCUGUUGCAUAUACUACAACUUUGCCAGAAAGUACGAUAUUGUUCGGGAAGAGAAUAGGCUAGGACAAGAGGGUGAUCUUCGUGAAAUUGACAUUUGAGGGUGGUUGUUGCAGAGGCACAACUCUUGUGUAACCAGAAUAGACAGGUGUUACAAAAGUAGGAUAAAUCUUUAUCUUCUGUGCGGCAAGCAUCACAGCUGAACAAGGCUUCCUUGGGCAUUAAAGUUAAUGGGUGAUUGUGGGAUUCAUGAUGAAAGCUGCGAUCCUGCAAAACACAUGUCAAACAAACGUCAAACUCACAACUUACACAUUGAUAGGUGAACCACUUCCAACCCUUGACGCAGCAGACAUCACAAAUGCAGGUACGGCUAUCAUACUGUGGACGUGAAUGCAGGGUAAGAGGGUGAUCUUGGUGCAUAGGAUAUUCAAGUUCUUGGGGCAAUUCCGCACAUGUUUUGUGUAGAAAGAAAUUGUCACAAUCACCUUGGGUUGUAUUAUCAAUGGUAUGACUACUAGUGCUGCAGCUAUAUGCUGAUUCACCGAUGAGUAUUGAUUUAUUGCACCCACAACAAUUAACAUCCUCCUGAGCAUGAUCCUCAACGUUGAGGAUCAACGGAUGCUCAUGGCUAAAGUGUUGAAGUUGCUCCAUCUCAAUACGUGGGUACGGUUAAAAUUAAGACAAGGAUAUAAAGAGAAGAGGAUUACAAUUGGCAAGAGAAUUGUGAAAAUUUUAACACCAAGAACUCAUCAUAUAAAGCAAAGUCUACCACCAAGUCUUUGUACAUAUAUGUAUAUAGGACAAAUUGUAUUUAUCUUGAACACAAAAAAGAUGGUUUGAAAAAUGAUAUGUAAUUAGAAAAUGAAAAGUAAUAUGUGAAAGAGAAAGAGAGAAAUAGAGAGAUGAAAAUUGGGAAGCUGAUAUGUAAUUAUCUA